GAUGAACGCUGGCGGCGUGCCUAAUACAUGCAAGUCGGGCGAACCAAUUAAGAGCUUGCUCUUAAGAAGUUAGCGGCGGACGGGUGAGUAACACGUGGGUAACCUGCCUAUAAGACUGGGAUAACUCCGGGAAACCGGGGCUAAUACCGGAUAACAUUUUGCACCGCAUGGUGCGAAAUUGAAAGGCGGCUUCGGCUGUCACUUAUAGAUGGACCUGCGGCGCAUUAGCUAGUUGGUGAGGUAACGGCUCACCAAGGCGACGAUGCGUAGCCGACCUGAGAGGGUGAUCGGCCACACUGGGACUGAGACACGGCCCAGACUCCUACGGGAGGCAGCAGUAGGGAAUCUUCCACAAUGGACGAAAGUCUGAUGGAGCAACGCCGCGUGAGUGAUGAAGGUUUUCGGAUCGUAAAACUCUGUUGUAAGGGAAGAACACGUACGAGAGGAAAUGCUCGUACCUUGACGGUACCUUACGAGAAAGCCACGGCUAACUACGUGCCAGCCGCCGCAGUAACAC
rnacentral:rRNA from 1 species